UUUUUUUUUUUUGGUAAGCAAAGAUUUUUAUAAUAAUAUUAAAAUCAGGAAAAACUUAGCAUGGGUAUCCCUAGCUUAAAUCCAGACUGAUAGUCCAUCCCCUAUACAACCUAUCUAGAAAGUUGCAUGCUAAGUGAAAAUCCCUAGAACUGACAUCAAAGCCUGAAUCGGAAAUACAUCCAAGUCAAGAGACCAAGUAUACAGAGCUAGAUAAAACCAACACCAAUAGAAGAGAACGUAGCAGCAAGCAAAUUGUGGCAGAUCAAACUUGAAUGGUGCAGCGAUGCUGAAGGCCAAAAAUAGAGCAUUACCCAAACAAGCAGCAACUAAAACCCAAACUAAAAAUGAAUAAAGCAAGCUAAAAAAAAAAACCUGCAUCCGAUAGAAAUUUGUGUGAGAACCAAUGGAAUGAAGCAACCAACAACUGAAGGAAAUUAGGACCAAAAUCAAUAAUCACCACCACCACCAAACCAAAGGACCACAAGCACUCUUAUGACAAUCCCAUAGACAUCAGCAACAAAAUUAGAGCAUGAAUCUUUUCUUGGCAAAUGGCACAAAAAUCACCUAUUGCAAUUAGCAAGGUGCCAUAAGCUAAACAACAGAAAUUUAAGCUGAAGCAGGACCAUAGCUUGAGAGAGAGGCAGCCACUUAUCAAUCCACAACGCAUUAGAGUGCCAGACAGCCCCGAAGCAUAGACAGAUGGGGGCAGAAUCCAAUGAUCAAAUCCAACCGUCAAUGCAACAGAUCCACAAAACAAACUUGAAUAUAACAAUUAAAACAAGGCUGAUCCAACACAUGGGACAUAAACACAAUUCCCGCACCCACCAUGAGAGCCAAGAAAAUAAAAAAACCAUGCAAUAAAUUCUUCUGAACGAUAAAUGCCCUCAAUCUUCCUGUUCAUAUAAAGAAAUAUCAUUGUUAAUUUGCCAAGUCAGAUGCUUAACAAAGAGGCUUUCUUCCCCUUCAUAAAUAAAACCAAGAUCUUUUCCAGCUUGAAUGGUAAGGGUUGCUUCAGUUUCUGGAGCAAGAGACGUAUGUGCAUUGACAGCUUCUGAUUCUAACCGAGUAGGCAUGCAGACGUGAGAAGCUUCCUGAAGGAUGUUGUUCAUCCUUUUGAUCUCACCAUCUGAGGCUAUGAAAGACUAUUUGGACAUUCCCUUACUGCGUUCUUUGCCACCAUGAUGCAGCUUUGGAUGGAGAUCCAAAAUAUCGACCGAGGGUCUAUGGGCCUUGGUUCACCAUUUGAUAAGCCUUGAAGCCUUAAGGUGGGAGGGAGGAAGAUUACUGUUGAUCUUGGGCUGGUUGGAGAAGAGUCUUGAACAGGGUCCUCAAGGAUAGGCCCAGAUGUUGAACGUGGCCUAGAUAGAGCCACAGAUGGAACAAAAUUGUCCUCGUGGGAGAGUGCAGGUCAGCAGUACUUAUGUAUUUUCAAUUUCUUCAAGGUUGAGAGCAGACACAUGGAUAGGUGUGGGCAUCAAAGAAAGCAUUUCUAAUUCAAAAUUGCAGCACCUAUUCC
rnacentral:misc_RNA from 1 species